ACAAUGGAAGCAGAAAUGUCUUAGAUGAGAUAAUUGUAAGUUCAGAGCAGAUUUUCAACACCCUUUGUGUGAGGACGAACCAAAUAGAGUUAGACUAUAGUAGUCCAAAUAGAGGAAGACUAUAGUAGAGGUCUGUAAAAUCAUGAUUCUUAGUCAAAAUGUCAAUGAAUAUGAAACAGUGGUUCCCUGUCUGUUCUUUUUGUACAAAAACUAAGGGCCCUCAAAUGAAAGUAGCAGUUAUGUUGAAAGCAAACAAUGGUUCCUCAUAUAUUGUUUAAUUAAGCUCUGGAGCUUCUUCCUGCAGGAUGUUGUGGAUGCUAAAAGUUUCCAUGUGCCAUGCUUUCAAGCAAAAAAACCAACUGACAAGACCAGGGAAGAAAAAUCAGAUGAGAGCUACUAAACACUGACACCAUCUCUGGCUCAGGAGGUUCAUAAACUAUGGUGCUAUAUAGAUUAUCAGAAGGAAUGGCUGUGCUGAGAAUAAAAGAUAAAGUGGCAUCAGAACAGUAAAUAUUUUGGAGCUAAGAGACAGCUACUGGAAUUCCAGGAUCUACUACAAUAACAUAAUGUGAAGCAUUUUGGUGGUCAGCUUAAGAAAUUAUGUUCACAACAAAGACUAUAAAGCCAGUGGGAAUUUACAACCGAUAUUCUUAGAUGUGCUCCUUUCAGAAGAUAUCUAAUCUUUCACUCAAGAGAAGUUUUUCCAGAUCUCGCUCCCUGUAGUUCCUGUUCCAUUUAGAAUGUAUCAAUAAAAUUUCUU